AACAUGUAACUAAAGGAAAACCAAGUUCUACGGAUAGUCAACUUGUUUAUUGCAGUGAGUGUGACGUUUCGGUGUAGGUACUAACACCGUUAUCAAGCAAGUGAUACACAGAGUUGUAACAAGGAGAAUAUAUACAUAGCUGCAUAGUGAGUAUAAACAAUGAACAUGGUUGAUGUA